rnacentral:lncRNA from 1 species
UUCUUUAGUUUUUACCAUUAUCUUUGUUGGAUUAUACUCCUAUACUAAUGUGGUCUUCAAAUUCCACAAAUAAGCUAUACCUGAACUGGAAACUGAGAGGAUGACUAAACCAUCAUCUUCAUUCCAACCAUGCUUGCAUUCAAAUACUACUGGAGGAUGUUUCAUGGAAAGAACAGGCCCUUUACUGACAGUCUUGCUAUUCAAAUCACAGUUCCACACUUGAAGAUGUUUCUCACCAAACCCAGAUGUAACAAUGGUAUUGGCAUCAUUAGAUAUCCAGAUACUCUGCACAGACUCCAAAUCAUUAGGGAACUUCAGAAGUUCUUUCCCAUUUUCCAAGCUUAGAACCCGUAUCUUGCUACCAGCUAUGGCUAACAUUUUCUCGUCGCUAGAAAAAACUAAAGAAGAGAUCGACUUCUUUGAAGCUUUGAACUCUCCUAUAAGUUCUCCAUUUUCUUAUUUCAAUGUUGAGACCAUUCCAUUAGUACCCACUACAUGAAGAAUACGCCCUUUAUUUGCAAAAGAAAG